UACGUAGGGUGCAAGCGUUAAUCGGAAUUACUGGGCGUAAAGCGUGCGCAGGCGGUUAUGUAAGACAGAUGUGAAAUGCCCGGGCUCAACCUGGGAACUGCAUUUGUGACUGCAUCGCUGGAGUGCGGCAGAGGGGGAUGGAAUUCCGCGUGUAGCAGUGAAAUGCGUAGAUAUGCGGAGGAACACCGAUGGCGAAGGCAAUCCCCUGGGCCUGCACUGACGCUCAUGCACGAAAGCGUGGGGAGCAAACAGG
rnacentral:rRNA from 1 species